rnacentral:rRNA from 1 species
CCUACGGGAGGCAGCAGUGAGGAAUAUUGGUCAAUGGACGAGAGUCUGAACCAGCCAAGUAGCGUGAAGGAUGACUGCCCUAUGGGUUGUAAACUUCUUUUAUAUGGGAAUAAAAUGUUCCACGUGUAGGAUUUUGUAUGUACCAUAUGAAUAAGGAUCGGCUAACUCCGUGCCAGCAGCCGCGGUAAUACGGAGGAUCCGAGCGUUAUCCGGAUUUAUUGGGUUUAAAGGGAGCGUAGGUGGAUUGUUAAGUCAGUUGUGAAAGUUUGCGGCUCAACCGUAAAAUUGCAGUUGAAACUGGCAGUCUUGAGUACAGUAGAGGUGGGCGGAAUUCGUGGUGUAGCGGUGAAAUGCUUAGAUAUCACGAAGAACUCCGAUUGCGAAGGCAGUUCACUGGACUGCAACUGACACUGAGGCUCGAAAGUGUGGGUAUCAAACAGGAUUAGAUACCCGAGUAGUC